rnacentral:rRNA from 2 species
GACGCUGGCGGCGUGCCUAAUACAUGCAAGUCGAACGAACUCUGGUAUUGAUUGGUGCUUGCAUCAUGAUUUACAUUUGAGUGAGUGGCGAACUGGUGAGUAACACGUGGGAAACCUGCCCAGAAGCGGGGGAUAACACCUGGAAACAGAUGCUAAUACCGCAUAACAACUUGGACCGCAUGGUCCGAGCUUGAAAGAUGGCUUCGGCUAUCACUUUUGGAUGGUCCCGCGGCGUAUUAGCUAGAUGGUGAGGUAACGGCUCACCAUGGCAAUGAUACGUAGCCGACCUGAGAGGGUAAUCGGCCACAUUGGGACUGAGACACGGCCCAAACUCCUACGGGAGGCAGCAGUAGGGAAUCUUCCACAAUGGACGAAAGUCUGAUGGAGCAACGCCGCGUGAGUGAAGAAGGGUUUCGGCUCGUAAAACUCUGUUGUUAAAGAAGAACAUAUCUGAGAGUAACUGUUCAGGUAUUGACGGUAUUUAACCAGAAAGCCACGGCUAACUACGUGCCAGCAGCCGCGGUAAUACGUAGGUGGCAAGCGUUGUCCGGAUUUAUUGGGCGUAAAGCGAGCGCAGGCGGUUUUUUAAGUCUGAUGUGAAAGCCUUCGGCUCAACCGAAGAAGUGCAUCGGAAACUGGGAAACUUGAGUGCAGAAGAGGACAGUGGAACUCCAUGUGUAGCGGUGAAAUGCGUAGAUAUAUGGAAGAACCACCAGUGGCGAAGGCGGCUGUCUGGUCUGUAACUGACGCUGAGGCUCGAAAGUAUGGGUAGCAAACAGGAUUAGAUACCCUGGUAGUCCAUACCGUAAACGAUGAAUGCUAAGUGUUGGAGGGUUUCCGCCCUUCAGUGCUGCAGCUAACGCAUAAGCAUCCG